rnacentral:rRNA from 1 species
AUGCUGUGGUGGGUGGAUGGGCGGCGGAGGAUCACGUCGCCCGAGCUCGUCCCUGCCAUGCGCAGCUACUUCGGCAACGUCACGACCUACGUUGUAGAGGAGGCGGCCGUGGAGGAGAUCCAGCGGAAGCCGCUGGCGGAGGUGGCGGCCAUGGUGCGGGAGGCCAUCACGUCGAUAGACUACGACGAGCACAUACAGGAGCUGGUGGACAGGGUGGAGGAGCACAAGAAGCAGAAGAUUGUGGAGAAGGCCGCCGUCGGGCUCGGCUCGCCGACGGUGAACCAGACGGUGUUCGCCUCGUUCCCGCUGGACAUGGACUUCGGGUUUGGCCAGGCCACGCUGGCCAUGCCCGUAUGGCACCACGGCAGGCUCGCCUCAGGCAACCUGGCGGUCGGUACGUGGCCUGGAGGCGACGGCUCAUGGAUUGUCAACGCGUACGUGUGGCCGCGGCUAGCGGCGGCGCUCGAGUCUGACGGCCAGUGCAUCUUUAAGCCUGUCACGGCAGAGUAUCUCCAGUUCGAAGCCACCAUCUUCACCAUACAACACACAAUAAAUUAA